rnacentral:rRNA from 1 species
UACGUAAGUGGCGAGCGUUAUCCGGAAUCACUGGGCGUAAAGCGUGCGUAGGCGGUGCAGCAAGUUGGAAUUGAAAUCCCUGGGCUCAACUCAGGACCCGGUCCCAAAACUGCUGUACUAGAGCGUAUCAGAGGACAGCGGAAUUCCCGGUGUAGCGGUAAUAUGCGUAGAUAUCGGGAGGAACACCAGUGGCGUAGGCGGCUGUCUGGGGUAUUGCUGACGCUGAGGCACGAAAGCCAGGGGAGCGAACGGG